rnacentral:rRNA from 1 species
AUUGAACGCUGGCGGCAGGCCUAACACAUGCAAGUCGAACGAGUGGCGGACGGGUGAGUAAUGUCUGGGAAACUGCCUGAUGGAGGGGGAUAACUACUGGAAACGGUAGUUAAUACCGCAUACCAUCGGAUGUGCCCAGAUGGGAUUAGCUAGUAGGUGGGGUAAAGGCGCACCUAGGCGACGAUCCCUAGCUGGUCUGAGAGGAUGACCAGCCACACUGGAACUGAGACACGGUCCAGACGCCGACGGGAGGCAGCAGUGGGGAAUAUUGCACAAUGGGCGCAAGCCUGAUGCAGCCAUGCCGCGUGUAGGAAGAAGGCCUUCGUGUUGUAAAGUACUUUCAGCGGGGAGGCGUUACCCGCAGAAGAAGCACCGGCUAACUCCGUGCCAGCAGCCGCGGUAAUAC